rnacentral:rRNA from 1 species
UACGUAGGGGGCGAGCGUUGUCCGGAUUUAUUGGGCGUAAAGAGCUCGUAGGCGGUUCGUCGCGUCGGCUGUGAAAACCCGGAGCUCAACUCCGGGCCUGCAGUCGAUACGGGCGGACUUGAGUGUUGCAGGGGAGACUGGAAUUCCUGGUGUAGCGGUGAAAUGCGCAGAUAUCAGGAGGAACACCGGUGGCGAAGGCGGGUCUCUGGGCAACUACUGACGCUGAGGAGCGAAAGCGUGGGGAGCGAACAGG